rnacentral:rRNA from 1 species
ACAUCCACGGAAUUUAGCAGAGAUGCUUUAGUGCCUUCGGGAACCGUGAGACAGGUGCCGCAUGGCUGUCGUCAGCUCGUGUUGUGAAAUGUUGGGUUAAGUCCCGCAACGAGCGCAACCCUUAUCCUUUGUUGCCAGCGGGUUAUGCCGGGAACUCAAAGGAGACUGCCAGUGAUAAACUGGAGGAAGGUGGGGAUGACGUCAAGUCAUCAUGGCCCUUACGAGUAGGGCUACACACGUGCUACAAUGGCGCAUACAAAGAGAAGCGACCUCGCGAGAGCAAGCGGACCUCAUAAAGUGCGUCGUAGUCCGGAUUGGAGUCUGCAACUCGACUCCAUGAAGUCGGAAUCGCUAGUAAUCGUAGAUCAGAAUGCUACGGUGAAUACGUUCCCGGGCCUUGUACACACCGCCCGUCACACCAUGGGAGUGGGUUGCAAAAGAAGUAGGUAGCUUAACCUUCGGGAGGGCGCUUACCACUUUGUGAUUCAUGACUGGGGUGAAGUCGUAACAAGGUAAGCGUAGUGCU